GUAAGCACGUAAUGGUUAUUUGUCCAAUUGUCACCAAAAAGCUUUGAAUGAUUAAUCAGUCAUCUCAAAACCCUUUUUUAAGGCUUCUUUCAUAAUAUCACUUAUUUUAAAACGGUCCCUUCUGAGAAAGUGAAACUGAAAAAACCUCCUCUAGAGCUUCCAAAGCUCUACUCUCUGCCCCUGCCUUUGAAAACCACAGAAGUUUUGGAUCGCUGAAAAGACUGGCCAGAGGAUUUGCCCAUUAACCCCAGAGGUCCCUUUAUGAUUUGGUAUCAUUGAGGCAAUGGAUACCACCCUCAUUUUUAAGACUCUUAAGAGCUUAUUCCCCUACUUUUCAAUAUAGUAUAGAAUAAUAACCAAUAAGGAUGGUGGUUUCUUGCUUGAAGAUGUGGUUAUGGAGAUCCAGUCAGCCUUGCAGAAGGGAAGUCUAAUAGAGAUGUUUUUCAAGAUCCAGAAGAUACUGCAAAUGUUAGAAAAUGCCCCCUUGAAUAUUGCUGUGAUAGGGGAGUCUGGGUCUGGAAAGUCCACUUUCAUCAAGGCCUUUCAAGGAAUUGGGCAUGAAGAAGUGGACUCUGCAAGCACUGGAAUAGAAGAGACCACCAUGACGGCUAUUCCCUACGAGCACCUUAAAUACCCCCAUGUGAAGCUAUGGGACCUGCCGGGCAUUAGGACCCUUAAUUUCCACCCUGACACUUAUCUGGAUCAAGUGGGGUUCGACCACUACGAUUUCUUCAUCAUCCUUUCGUCUUCUAGAUUCACAGCCAAUGAUGUGAAGCUGGUCCAGGCAAUAAGAGAGAGAAAAAAGACAUUUUUCUUUGUUAGAACCAUGGUAGAUAUAGAUUUGGAUAACGAAAGGAAGUCCAAACCCAAGUCUUUCUGUAGGAGAGAAUGCUUCGGAUAAUGAGAGAAAACUGCCUGAAAAACCUCUACAUUGAAGGUUUGAGGGAGCCCCAAGUCUUCUUGAUUUCUAACUUUGAUUUAUCUGAUUAUGACUUCCCAAAGCUGGAGGCAACCCUGCUAAAUGAUCUGCCGGCUGGCAAACGCUACACCUUCAUGUUGACCCUGCCUAAUGUUUCUGAGACUGCAAUUGAGAGGAAGAAGGCUGUUCUACAAGAAAGGAUCUGGCUGGAGGCCUUGAAGAGCACCACUUUGGCCAUAGUCCCCUUGGGAGGCUUCAUUAUUAAUGACUUAGAUACAUUGGAUAAGUGUUUGAAACGUUAUCGAGACAUUUUUGGGCUGGAUGACAAAUCUCUUCUCCAUCUGGCGCAAAAGUUGGGGCAGCCCCCGGAGAAGAUCAAGGCUUCUGUAAAGUCUCUGGAUCUGCUAGCACUCAUUAAGGAGAAUGCCAUGAAAAAGCUCCUAAAAUGGGUUGAAGACUUCCGCUCUUUUCAUGGAGGCCCCCUGGGUUUCGGCUUCCACUUUGGAAAGACCUACUUCUUACACUUGCGCUUCCUUGAUGCCGUGACUGCCGAUGCCAAAACUCUCUGCAGAAAAUUUUUAAAAAGCUAUUUUUAAGUAAGAGGAUGGAGAGAUGGAGCCACCUGACUUGAGAGAAUAGCAGGGGUUCAAAAAUCUUGGACAAACUCACCAAGACAAAGACCUAAGCAAAGUCAGGAAAAGAAAUUCUAAGUUUAGGUGAAUGGAUGGAUUCCUGCUCCUUGAAUUUACUCAGCCUGGUCUGGAAAAAAGUGGACUUCCCCUUUUGUCAGACAGGUGAUACAGAAAUUGUCUUUCAACAAGAUUUGGGUGAUUAAGUCCCUGUAACCCCCAAACCCACAUCUCAUUAUAAUAUUCAAUUUUACCUUCACCAUUCAUCAGUAAGAGUUGAUCACCACCCUCAGGAACACCUGUUCUUUUAAGGACAUAUAAAUGUAAGCCCAUUGUCAUAACAGAUUUUUGGCAUUCGAGAGGGCCACUAAAUUCUUUUACUAAUAAUGUGCUAGCAUUAUUAAUAAAACUAUUACAAUAUCUCUUGAACUUAUUAAAUAUUGAUGAGGUCUAGAUUUUGGGGUUCCAUUCGGUCAGGGAACCAAAUGGUGAGGUCUAGAUUUUGGGGUUCUGUUUGGUCAGGGAAUCAAAUGAGGAGAUUAGGGUUUCUGGUGAUUAGGGAGUUAAAUGAUGAGGUGAGUGGCAGAUUCAGGAUUCAGGGAACCAAAUGAAGAGGUUUGGCUCCCCUAAAUCCCCUUGGGAUUUGGGAGUUUUGAGAACCCCCUUUCUGGCGGCGCAGAGAUCCUUCCUAAUUAUGAACCUGAAAGGCUAGAUUGAUUAAAAAUUUUAUCAUAGUCAUUGGGAAGUCAGCCUUUGCUAUGCAUGAAUAGAAAGACUGAAUUCCUUAAUGGCAAAGUCCCUACAGAGAGAUAUAAAGUAAGGUCCCGAUAGAGAGAUAUAAAGUCUCAUUAGGGAAAUAGGGGAGGAUAAAGAGAGGGUAACGCUGAAAGAGAAUAUCACCCCAGCAGGCAAAGGCCUGCUAUACCAGGAAGAGAGCUUCCCUGGCAUAUUAGGUCCUCUGCAAGGAGAGAGUUUAAGAUUGGCUCUUUUAUAGUAGAAACUUUUGUCUAUGAGCUGAGGGCAAUUCUUGAUAGGGCUGAGUCCAGCUUGAGUUGAAUUUAAAUAGAAUUGAAUGAGUCUCUGUAAUUCUAUAGGAAGCUUAAUCAGUAGUGAGUGUUAUUGAUGGGGAUGGCGCCCAUUUCUCAGGAUCUCUUCCAGAAGCCAGGAUUCAAGGAGGAUCUGUCCUGCCAGGAGUGUUCAGGGAAUUUGGGGGUUCCCUUCAAUAUUACUUUUCAAAGCUGUCUGAUGAACACGGACACUAAAUGCAUUCACCUUUGUUUCAUGGGAAGUUUGGGGUAAUUAAAAGAACUUUGUGACCAUCAA